rnacentral:lncRNA from 1 species
CCAAAUAGGCCAAGACCAAUAAAGAAUUAACAGACCAUUACAACAAAAUUAAUCCAAAAACAGACCCAAUCCAAAUGCCCAAUAAUGAUAAAAACCCUAGAGGCCCGAAUGGCCCAAACCUAUACUAUUUUUCAGCCUAACACAAAACCCUAGCCUCAUGCUUUGUAGCUGCCGCCGCUUCACCUCCCCUCGCGCAUGCACGCCUCUGACCAGCCGCCACUCGCACGCCUCUGCCGUCGCCUGCACCAACGCGUCUGACACCUGCAAAACGAGCAACACGCAACAACAGAAGAAACAAAUAGCAAAACGACAAAAAU